AAGAGAAAAAGGGGAGCUGUUGAGAUCUCACCUUCUCAGGGAAGGGAAUCUUCCUUGCUUCUCAUCAGGGUUGUUGUCUCCCAACCCAACCUUUCCAUGUGGCUGGCCUUUCGUAAUAUAUUCAAGGUUCAGAAGAAAAGGAAGUAGGCGUUGAUGAUCUUCCGGGCUACUUCUUGAGGCAAAGAAGAGCACCGCCGCUGCCCCUUGCUUCUCUGCUCACCGCUGCAACUCCAACCACAGCUUCUUGCUUCACCACUCGCCACUGCAACUCCGACCACUACUGCAUCGAACUGUCGGCG